CAGCAGCCGCGGGAAUACGUAGGGGGCAAGCGUUAUCCGGAUUUACUGGGUGUAAAGGGAGCGCAGGCGGUUUUGCAAGUUGAGAGUGGAAGCAGGGGGCUCAACCCCCUGACUGCUCCCAAAACUGUAAAACUUGAGUAUGGGAGAGGCAGGCGGAAUUCCUAGUGUAGCGGUGAAAUGCUUAGAUAUUAGGAAGAACACCGGUGGCGAAGGCGGCCUGCUGGACCAAAACUGACGCUGAGGCUCGAAAGCGUGGGUAGCAAACAGGAUUAGAUACCCCCGUAGUCCCUGUCUCUUAUAC
rnacentral:rRNA from 1 species